rnacentral:rRNA from 1 species
GAUGAACGCUGGCGGCGUGCUUAACACAUGCAAGUCGAACGGAAAGGCUCCUGCUUGCAGGGGUACUCGAGUGGCGAACGGGUGAGUAACACGUGGGUGAUCUGCCCUGCACUUCGGGAUAAGCCUGGGAAACUGGGUCUAAUACCGGAUAGGACCACAUUUUGGAUGGGGUGGUGGAAAGUUUUUCGGUGUGGGAUGAGCUCGCGGCCUAUCAGCUUGUUGGUGGGGUAAUGGCCUACCAAGGCGUCGACGGGUAGCCGGCCUGGGAGGGUGUACGGCCACAUUGGUACUGAGAUACGGCCCAGACUCCUACGGGAGGCAGCAGUGGGGAAUAUUGCACAAUGGGCGCAAGCCUGAUGCAGCGACGCCGCGUGGGGGAUGACGGCCUUCGGGUUGUAAACUCCUUUCGCUAGGGACGAAGCGCAAGUGACGGUACCUGGAGAAGAAGCACCGGCUAACUACGUG